UACGUAGGGUGCGAGCGUUGUCCGGAAUUAUUGGGCGUAAAGAGCUUGUAGGCGGUUUGUCGCGUCUGCUGUGAAAAAAAUCCGGGGCUCAACCCCCCGGACUUGCAGUGGGUAUGGGCAGACUAGAGUGUGGUAGGGGGAGACUGGAAAAAUUUUUCCUGGUGUAGCGGUGGAAAAAUGCGCAGAUAUCAGGAGGGGAAAACACCGGGGUGGGGCGAGGCGGGGUCUCUGGGGCAGUAAA
rnacentral:rRNA from 1 species